GAUGAACGCUGGCGGGGGGCCUAACACAUGCAAGUCGAGCGGUAACACUUCGGGUGACGAGCGGCGAACGGCUGAGUAACACGUUGGUACCUGCCCUAUACUCAGGGAUAACCACUGGAAACGGUGGCUAAUACCGGAUAGCUGGAAACAGUAAAGAUUCAUCGGUAUAGGAGGGGCCUGCGGCAUAUCAGGUAGUUGGUGGGGUAAUAGCCUACCAAGCCUAUGACGUGUAGCUGGUGUGAGAGCAUGACCAGCCAGAGUGGGACUGAGACACGGCCCACACUCCUACGGGAGGCAGCAGUGAGGAAUCUUCCGCAAUGGGCGAAAGCCUGACGGAGCCACCCCGCGUGCAGGAUGACACCCUUCGGGGCGUAAACUGCUUUUCUGAGGGAAGAAGAUCUGACGGUACCUCAGGAAUAAGCAACGGCUAAUUUCG
rnacentral:rRNA from 1 species